rnacentral:lncRNA from 10 species
CAUGAGGCUGUCAGUCUGCCUCCUACUACUCAUUCUGGCCUUUUGCUGCUAGGAGGCCAAUGCAGUGCUCUGUCCAGCCCUUGCUACUAAAAUCACAGGCUUCUUAUUCACUCAGGAUCCUCUGUUCAAGUUACAACUUGCCAAUCUUAAUGCACUUCUGGAAGCUAUUGCUGCCAAGAUGGCAGUGAAGAAACGCACAGACAAGAUGUCCCUUGGGAACAGACUCUUAAUUUUAAAAAUAUUGGUG